rnacentral:rRNA from 1 species
UGGGGAAUAUUGCACAAUGGGCGCAAGCCUGAUGCAGCCAUGCCGCGUGUGUGAAGAAGGCCUUCGGGUUGUAAAGCACUUUCAGUCGUGAGGAAGGUAGUGUAGUUAAUAGCUGCAUUAUUUGACGUUAGCGACAGAAGAAGCACCGGCUAACUCCGUGCCAGCAGCCGCGGUAAUACGGAGGGUGCGAGCGUUAAUCGGAAUUACUGGGCGUAAAGCGCAUGCAGGUGGUUUGUUAAGUCAGAUGUGAAAGCCCGGGGCUCAACCUCGGAAUAGCAUUUGAAACUGGCAGACUAGAGUACUGUAGAGGGGGGUAGAAGUUUCAGGUGUAGCGGUGAAAUGCGUAGAGAUCUGAAGGAAUACCGGUGGCGAAGGCGGCCCCCUGGACAGAUACUGACACUCAGAUGCGAAAAGCGUGGGGAGCAAAACAGGAUUAGAUACCCUGGUAGUCCACGCCGUAAACGAUGUCUACUUGGAGGUUGUGGCCUUGAGCCGUGGCUUUCGGAGCUAACGCGUUAAGUAGACCGCCUGGGAGUACGGUCGC